rnacentral:rRNA from 1 species
UACGUAGGGUGCGAGCGUUAAUCGGAAUUACUGGGCGUAAAGCGUGCGCAGGCGGCGCGUUAAGACAGGUGUGAAAGCCCCGAGCUUAACUUGGGAAUUGCGCUUGUGACUGGCGUGCUGGAGUGUGGCAGAGGGAGGUGGAAUUCCACGUGUAGCAGUGAAAUGCGUAGAGAUGUGGAGGAACACCGAUGGCGAAGGCAGCCUCCUGGGCCAGCACUGACGCUCAAGCACGAAAGCGUGGGGAGCAAACAGG